GACGUAGGGCGCGAGCGUUGUCCGGAUUUAUUGGGCGUAAAGAGCUCGUAGGCGGCUUGUCGCGUCGAAUGUGAAAUCUCAGGGCUCAACUCUGACAUUGCAUUCGAUACGGGCAGGCUAGAGUUCGGUAGGGGAGACUGGAAUUCCUGGUGUAGCGGUGAAAUGCGCAGAUAUCAGGAGGAACACCGGUGGCGAAGGCGGGUCUCUGGGCCGAUACUGACACUGAGAGACGAAAGCUAGGGGAGCGAAUGGG
rnacentral:rRNA from 1 species